AGCUCCAAUAGCGUAUAUUAAAGUUGUUGCAGUUAAAAAGCUCGUAGUUGAAUUUCUGGUGGGAGUGAUCAGUCCAGCUCAUAGAGUUGGUACUUGCAUCAUCUCCCACCAUCAUUGAAGAUAAUCUUUCUGGCAUUAAGUUGUCGGAUGGAGGAACUUCAUCCUUUACUGUGAAAAAAUUAGAGUGUUCAAAGCAAGCUUAUGCUGUUGAAUAUAUUAGCAUGGAAUAAUAAGAUAGGACUUUGGUGCUAUUUUGUUGGUUUGUGUGCCAUAGUAAUGAUUAAUAGGGUCAGUUGGGGGUAUUUGUAUUCCAUUGUCAGAGGUGAAAUUCUUGGAUUUAUGGAAGACAAACUACUGCGAAAGCAUUUACCAAGGAUGUUUUCAUUAAUCAAGAACGAAA
rnacentral:rRNA from 1 species